rnacentral:rRNA from 1 species
AGGAUUAACGCUGGCGGCGUGCCUGACACAUGCAAGUCGAACGAGGCCGCAAGGCCGAGUGGCGGACGGGUGAGUAACACGUGACCAACCAACCUCGAAGUUGGGAAUAGCUCUGCGAAAGUAGGGGUAAUACCGAAUGUGGCCCAGGGCGGGCAUCCGCCUUGGUCUAAAGAUUCAUCGCUUCGAGACGGGGUCGCGGCCUAUUAGCUUGUUGGUGAGGUAACGGCUCACCAAGGCGAUGAUGGGUAGC